CAUUUUAUAAGAAUAACUUUUUUAAAAUCAUAUUUGCUCCAUUUCUACCCACUGCAGCUUUGAUUGUUGUCAAACUUCCAUAAUAAUUUUUUGAGGUUAUUCUGUACAGACUUUUCAUUUGAAUAUGCACCUUAUCUAUAUUAUCAUUUAAUAAUAACAUAAGUAACAUUCACAAAAAAAAAAAAAAUCAAUGCAAACUCGUUCUCUAAUGAUGGUUUAUCAUCAAACAAGUUCAGCAGUGUGCCAACUGAUUGUUUCAGACCAUGUAGAAAUUAAUGGAAACAAAUGGCUGCCUGGAAUAAUAGCAAAAUAUAUACAUGAUUUGUAGUUCAGGAACUGAUAAUGAUCAGAAAAGGCUGUUUGGUAGUGAUAUUUAAUGGUAGAAUAAAAUAAAAUGCAUUGCUAUACAAGUCAGUCAUGACUCCCAAACAUUAAAUGUCAGAGAAUGCUUUUAAAUGUCAUCCGACACUGUGACCUGUCAGAGGUUUCAACUAAUGUUUAAUGAUGUUUACAAGCUUAUGGUUCUAAAAAAUGUCCGCCUACACAAAUCUGUUAGUGAUGAUGACUUAAAUUUGGAUGUGUAGACGACUGAGGGGUUUGAGAAAAUGACUCCAAUCAAGUUCAGACAUUUGCUCUUUAUCUUUACGAGGAAAUCCUUCUCUAGACAUGUUUUUAGUGUUCGGUGUAGUUUUAUGGAGACAAAGAUCUGCUUGUAACAAAGCUGCUUUAUUGUUUCAUUUAAGAGAUUGUAUGUUCCUGUCAUUUUGUACUUAAAUGUGCUAAAUUUGGAAUUCAGAGCAUUAAUAUAGCAGCAAAACACUAUUUGCUAUAACACAUUUUCUGCAAUUUGUGGGUUACCUUCUAGACACAGCCUAAUUUUAUCACUCGGCAGUCGAGCCAUUUCGGCUUCAUGCUCUACUGAGGAACUUUUAUAGGAAUGAACGGGGAACCGCCUCCGACGCUGUAUCCAGAUCUCUUUAUCCAUCCAUGCUAUGAUGUAGUGGAGUUAUCAUAGCAGAAGAUAGACAGGAAAGAAGGAAAGAGAAGGGAUGACAGGCAGCAAAGGGCCGCGGGUCGGAUUCAAACCUGGGGCUGCCUGACAUAGCUGAUCACACCACAUUUUAACAUGCGUUAAAAAAUAAAAUCAGUCAUAAUAACAUGUAAUGU